CUGCAAUUGUGAUAAUAACGACUUUCAUUAGUCAUCGGUCCGAGGCGAUUUUUCACUCGGAACGAUACCACAAUUGCUAUAUGAGUCUAGCUCGAGAUGCGUGUGCCGGUUUGCUUUUAAUGCGAGCUGGUUCCUUUUCUCCUCGAGACAUUU
rnacentral:snoRNA from 1 species